rnacentral:miRNA from 1 species
CGACACUUUGUGGGAUGCGUU